GGACGUCAAGUCGAAGUGACCGUCAGGGAGAUGGCGCUUCGGGGACCCACCAGGAAGGUGCUGCAAGGAAGGCUUCACUGAUGAAGCAAAGUGGAUGACGCAGGAUGCGUUCAGGGACACCUCCAGGAAGGAGAAUGAGAGCCGACCAGGAUAUUCGGUGGAUCAGGAAGAUCGGGACUCGCUUACGGAAUUGAGUUUUGUCACAUCGGGGUGGUGUGAGCAGGAUGCAGCAGUUUACGGAUGAACAGGUCUGGAGACCACGGGAAAAGUUGUCACGGACGAGCAGGGAGCAACAAAAGUAGCUGGAUUGCUGCGAAACGGAUCGGGCGCACUGUUUUUACAGUGCGCCCUUUUUUUUGU
rnacentral:other from 2 species